CAGGUGCAUGAGCUGACUGGGAGGUGAGACAGGUCCAUGAGCUGACUGGGAGGUGAGACAGGUCCAUGAGCUGACUGGGAGGUGAGGACAGGUCUAUGAGCUGACUGGGAGGUGAGGAGAGCAGGUCCAUGAGCUGACUGGGAGGUGAGGAGAGCAGGUCCAUGAGCUGACUGGGAGGUGAGGAGAGCAGGUCCAUGAGCUGACUGGGAGGUGAGGAGAGCAGGUGCACGAGCUGACUGGGAGGUGAGGAGAGCAGGUGCACGAGCUGACUGGGAGGUGAGGAGAGCAGGUGCACGAGCUGACUGGGAGGUGAGGAGAGCAGGUGCAUGAGCUGACUGGGAGAUGAGGAGAGCAGGUGCAUGAGCUGACUGGGAGAUGAGGAGAGCAGGUGCACGAGCUGACUGGGAGGUGAGGACAGGUCCAUGAGCUGACUGGGAGGUGAGGAGAGCAGGUGCACGAGCUGACUGGGAGGUGAGGACAGGUCUAUGAGCUGACUGGGAGGUGAGGAGAGCAGGUGCACGAGCUGACUGGGAGGUGAGGAGAGCAGGUGCAUGAGCUGACUGGGAGGUGAGGAGAGCAGGUGCAUGAGCUGACUGGGAGGUGAGGAGAGCAGGUGUAUGAGCUGAGUGGGAGGUGAGGAGAGCAGGUGCACGAGCUGACUGGGAGGUGAGGAGAGCAGGUGUAUGAGCUGACUGGGAGGUGAGGAGAGCAGGUGUAUGAGCUGACUGGGAGGUGAGGAGAGCAGGUGCAUGAGCUGACUGGGAGGUGAGGAGAGCUGAGUGGGAGGUGAGGAGAGCAGGUGCACGAACUGACUGGGCAGCUGUAGACAUAGCUCCUUCCUACAGCUGAGGGACAGACAUGGUCUGCUCAGGCUUGUCAAUCAAGGCAUGAGUGUUGAAUGUGAGCAGAGGUGGGCAAGGCCUGUGCAGAGAUCAGGUGCAACAUACUGCAGCCACCUGUCC